rnacentral:rRNA from 1 species
AGGAUAAACGCUGGCGGCGUGCCUAACACAUGCAAGUCGAACGCGCUUUCGUCUUCGGAGGAGAGCGAGUGGCGGACGGGUGAGUAACACAUGGGUACCUACCCCACAGUGAGGGAUACCGGCGAGAAAUCGCCGACAAUACCGCAUAGGCUUCUCUUUGGAGACGAGGAGAAGCAAAGUUGCGCAAGCGACGCUGAGGGAUGGGCCUGUGGCCGAUUAGCUAGGUUGGGGGGUAACGGCCUCCCAAGGCUUCGAUCGGUAGCUGGUCUGAGAGGACGAUCAGCCACACUGGGAUUGAGAACGGCCCAGACUCCGUACGGGGGCAGCAGUGAGGAAUUUUCCGCAAUGGAGGCAACUCUGACGGAGCAACGCCGCGUGCGAGGAUGGUAAGGUUUUCGGAUCGUAAACUGUCUUUUCGUCGGGGACGAGCGAAGGACCGGUAACCCGAGGAAGAACGCCCCGGACUAACGUACGUGCCAGCACGCCGAC